GAUGAACGCUGGCGGCGUGCCUAACACAUGCAAGUCGAACGGAGUCGUCUUGGAAAUCUCUUCGGAGAUGGAAUUCUCGACUUAGUGGCGGACGGGUGAGUAACGCGUGAGCAAUCUGCCUUUAAGAGGGGGAUAACAGUCGGAAACGGCUGCUAAUACCGCAUAAAGCAUUAAAUUCGCAUGUUUUUGAUGCCAAAGGAGCAAUCCGCUUUUAGAUGAGCUCGCGUCUGAUUAGCUAGUUGGCGGGGUAACGGCCCACCAAGGCGACGAUCAGUAGCCGGACUGAGGGGGUGAACGGCCACAGUGGGACUGAGACACGGCCCAGUCUCCUGCGGGAGACAGCAGUGGGAAAUAUUACGCAAUGGGGAAAACCCUGGCGCAACAGCGCCGCGUGAUAGAAGGAGGCCUUCGGGGUGUAAAGAUCUUUAAUCAGAGGCGAAACAAAUGACGGUACCUGAAAAAUAAGCACCGGCUAACUACGUG
rnacentral:rRNA from 1 species